rnacentral:rRNA from 1 species
AAUCAACGCUGGCGGCGUGCGUAACACAUGCAAGUCGAACGAGAAAGUCCUGGCAACGGGAUGAGUAAAGUGGCAGACGGGUGAGUAACACGUGAACAACCUACCCUCGAGUGGGGAAUAACUCAGCGAAAGCAGGGCUAAUGCCCCAUGACAUCCUCGGGACGCAUGUCCUGGGGAUCAACGGCCUCGGUCGCUUGAGGAGGGGUUCGCGCCUGAUUAGCUAGUUGGUGAGGUAACGGCCCACCAAGGCAACGAUCAGUAGCCGGCCUGAGAGGGCGUACGGCCACACUGGAACUGAGACACGGUCCAGACUCCUACGGGAGGCAG